GCAGACACAUUCCAGCCAAUCAGCAGCAGACCCUCCCUCCCAGACCCUCCCACCUCCUGGACAGCAUCCAUUUUACAUUCAUUGUGAAGCUGCAUUCUUAGUGAGCUGUCCAGGAGGUGGGAGGGUCUGGGAGGGAGGGUCUGCUGCUGAUUGUCUGGAAUGUGUCUG